rnacentral:tRNA from 1 species
GCACCCGUAGCUCAACUGGAAGAGCAGCAGCGCUCGAAGCUGUCACAUGGGGGCUCGAACCCCUCCGGGUGUG